AUGCUCUGGUUUCUCUUCAUAUCGCAUAAAUUUUUCGCAUUUUACUAAAGAUUUCCGUGGAGAGGAACAGUGAAGAGUUUUUACUCAAUUUUUUUAGGCUUCGCUUCGGUGAAGCU
ensembl:snRNA U5 U5 spliceosomal RNA